GGAAUCUUCCGCAAUGGGCGAAAGCCUGACGGAGCAAUGCCGCGUGAGUGAUGAAGGUUUUCGGAUCGUAAAGCUCUGUUGCCAGGGAAGAACGCUUGGGAGAGUAACUGCUCUCAAGGUGACGGUACCUGAGAAGAAAGCCCCGGCUAACUACGUGCCAGCAGCCGCGGUAAUACGUAGGGGGCAAGCGUUGUCCGGAAUUAUUGGGCGUAAAGCGCGCGCAGGCGGUCAUUUAAGUCUGGUGUUUAAUCCCGGGGCUCAACCCCGGAUCGCACUGGAAACUGGGUGACUUGAGUGCAGAAGAGGAGAGUGGAAUUCCACGUGUAGCGGUGAAAUGCGUAGAUAUGUGGAGGAACACCAGUGGCGAAGGCGACUCUCUGGGCUGUAACUGACGCUGAGGCGCGAAAGCGUGGGGAGCAAACAGGAUUAGAUACCCGAG
rnacentral:rRNA from 1 species